CGUUCAAACACUGGUUCCUGUAUGAUCACUGAGGUUAAGCAACGUCGAGCCUGGUCAAUACCCAGAUGGGUGACCGUUUUGGAAUACGAGGUGCUGUAA